rnacentral:tRNA from 1 species
GGGGAUUUAGCUCAGUAGCAUCAGCACUUGCCUUGCAAGCAAGCGGUCGUGAGUUUGAUCCCCA